rnacentral:rRNA from 1 species
AUACCCUAUUAUUUUUAGUGUAAAGUAUCAAGCUGGAGUAUUAACAGUUAAGAUCUUGAAACUUAAAGAAUUUGGCGGUAUUAUAGUCUAUUUAGAGGAAUUUGUUGCGUAAUCGAUAGUCCACGUUAAACCUUACUUACUUAAUUUCUUGUAUACCGCUGUUUAUUGAAUCUACUUUCAGGUGAUUUUCUUAAUAACGUAGUAGCUAGAAUUUCAAGUCAAGGUGCAGUAAUAUGUAAGUUGAGCAAUGGGUUACAAUAAGUUUUAUUUAUAUGGAUAAGUUAUUGAAAGAGUAAUAUGAAGGUGGAUUUAAUUGUAAUUGUAUAAAGGUUAUUUAAAUGAUUUCAAGCUCUAUAGUAUGUACACAUCGCCC